CGAUCAUAUUCAGUCUUGCUUCUGGUUUUAACUUUUUGUUGCGAAAUUAUUGGAUUGUCGAAAAUGAAAAAUGGGAUGUACCAAUUUUGAGCAAUAAGGCUCCUUUGUAUAUCCCUUCCUUUGAGUGUCGUCUAGGAUAGUAGAUUGUCAAACUUGAGGUCUAAUACUGCUUUUCAUUUUAGAAUAUUUUGCCUCUGCAAACCAUUGUGCAUUUAUUAUUCAACAUAUUCUGUUUUCACUUUGAUAGCGUAUUUUUCUUUUAGAGUUAAGUAUCUUCUCUUGUUCACUUUAUUUGUUAACUGAUCUGGUGGACUUGCUUCUUGUUAAGCUUCCCGCUGGUACCUCAUUUUAUAGAACUGGAGAAGUUAGUGGACAGUUAGAGCGAACAGGAAAACGAGUGAGUUUUCUUUAGGACAUGACUGUAUGAAGGAUAUUUUCCUCCCCUUUUAGAGUUUAUUUUGCAAUAGCAACCAUUUAUUAUUCUUGUUUCAUUCUACCCUACCUAUUCCUACUACAUGAUUGUCUUACUUUUGCUUUGCUUUGCUUUGAGUUCAGGUUGGGCAUGUUUGCUGGGAUGACAAUGAUGUAAUAAAUGGAAAACCAACUGGAGUGGUUGGAGUAUCUAUUGGUUACAUGUCAACUUAUGAAGAUGCUAAGUUGUUACAUGAAAUGGAACAUAGAAGCUUCCAACAUAAAUGAUACUAAUCUAUGAGAAGGUCCUUUGUAUCCAUACCAAGUGAGUUCGAGAAAGGGUACCUGCUCAGAUCAAAGUCAAUUCUAUACCAAAA